UUUGAUCCCUUAACCGAAAAAAAAAAUUCAAUUUGACCCAUUUGACGAGAAGAGCCAUUUGAGUCUCACGGCCAUGGGCAGUUCCAUAUGAGUCUCACGGCCAUGGGCAAGAACCAAAUUUUUUCAAUGGCUCAAUUUGGCUUGUUUUUCUAUCUCAAAUUCAGUCCAUUUGUGUUAAAAUUGGUCGAAUUCACUCACUCAUACAUUUUUUUCCACAAAUCAAAGUUAUAAAAAUAU
rnacentral:lncRNA from 1 species